AAAGUCGUAACAAGGUUUCCGUAGGUGAACCUGCGGAAGGAUCAUUGCAAAAUAAGUGAAAGAUUUGUUGGAAUGUGUGAGUGAAAUGAGUUUGACAACCAUACAAAUUUAACCUUAACAACUCUCCACAAUGGAUCUCUGGGCUCUU
rnacentral:misc_RNA from 1 species